AAAAAAAAUGUGACCUUAGUUUUGGACUACAAGUUAAACCUGUACAACCAUCCGACCAGAAAAAAUUCCUUUGUUAACGUUUCAUAUGAAACUUGUUCAUAUCUAUAACAUAGAACAACUAGCACGGUACCAUGACGACUGCAGUUAAUGAUUUUUAAAAUUAAGUACACAUCCAUCGGCAAAAAUAUCAAAGAACCAAAUGUCCAACUCCACAAGUUAACAACUUCUGCAAAUACAAAACCAGGAAAACAAUAUGAUACACUGUUUUGGCUUGAGGAUUGCUAAAGAGGACUGAUGACAAGUUCUUGCAAGUUCAUGCCCUGACAAAGUUGAGGGCUUUGAAUUUCCAUACAACAUCAUAUAUGCGUGUAUCAUAUAACAUAAAUCAAUCACUCGAUGAUGAUGAUGAUAAGGAAAAAAUGAAAAACAUGGAUCCAAAAGACUCAGGCUCCAUCAAAAUAACCAAAACUUGGAACCAACCUAGUAGUCUUGUGCAUAUUAUGUUACUAAAACACAUGUAAUAUUAUCACCCAUGAAAAGGCACAUAAUUGAUGAAUCAAGGUAAUGCAGUAAAUGACACUAGUGGUAGAUAUGGAUUACCAUGUUUGUUAAUUAGGUUCCGGUCCUCAAGCUGUAGUAAGCGCAACGUGUACAUUAAUGGGAGCCUAUAUAUCCAUGAGAAGGAGAAGAGACCGCAGCUAAAAGAGUUCCCCUGCAAAUGAACAUUGUAAUCACAUCUAGCAAGUAUUUUGGAGAACCAAAUGUCCCGAAAUCAAAGUUUAUGGUAAUAUAAACAAAUAGGCAGACAACCAACAGAUAAAAUGAUAAUAAGAUAGCACAAACACCGUUGACAAACUAAGCUAUAGACAAAUUUUAGGUGGUACUUGAAUGAUCAAUAAACCAGUAUUAUAAAGGAAGUGAAACACUAAACUGUCUGAAAGUUUAAAAUUCGAGCUAAUACAAAAGAGGCAAAACAAUGAUGAGAGCAUGAGAUGUCUUCCAAAUCCAAAACAAUGGAGUAAAAUUAGAAAGAAAAAAAAACUUAUGACCAUGAAUCAUUAUCCAAUUUUGAUGAGCAUGUUGGAAUGGAUAUAUUGCAGUCCUNAGCUCUUUCUACUAGUGGGGUGGGGGGGGGGGGGGGGGGGGGGGGGGGGGGGGACUCACUAGACGGAUCGGGAGUUCUCGAGCCUUUUCUGGAAGGGGUCCGGCCAUAACAAGGUGGCUCAUGGGCGUGGGUUUGCUCUCGUCGACAUUGCCUUCCAUCGUGGGACGCAAGUUGCUCCACCAUCGUCAGGUGUGAGAGGAUCAGUGAAGCUUCUCCGACUUGUCUAUCCACCCACUGACCCUAACCCUUGGACUAGGUUGUAAUUCCUCCAUUUGGCGUCGAUACGACGGCGAAUUGAUCAUGACCGAAUGAUCCUGAUGUCGCCGACUUGUCAAUGGUACUGAAUUGUCUAAACUCCGACGAUGGAGAGAAAAUCGAUUCCGAGUAGCUGCUAUGGUUUCUGUACAAUAUCUGAUGAAUACAACAAAGGUAAUUAUGGAAACAAUUAUUCGAAUGUUGUUACUUCUGCUCAUGCCACUGUUCAAUUGUGUAUUGUAGUUCAAAAGGUAAGAAAAUGAUUUUUUUUUUUUCUAAUUAAAUUUGGAGGUCAGGGUGUUACAGUAAUCAACUAGAAAUUGCAAGCUAACAGAAAACCACCAUUGAUCAGAGUAACACAAAACGACCCAACAUUAAGAUGCAUGAAACUAGUAUCAACCAAAAUUGUACUCGGAUAGAAAAUCCACCAGAAACUAAGAAACCAGUAAUUGAUCUCCAAUCAAACUAACUCAAAUCAAACACAGAGCCCAUAAACUAAUCAAAUACACACACAUGCAGAAACACCGUAAAUAAGGAACAAGAAUGGUAGAGCUACUACUCGAUCAUCGUCGUCGUCGUCAUGACAGAAGCAUCACCUAUCGAGUAAACAAAGUGACGUCACUCGUACCUCAACCAGAAGGCAGGCAACUCAGUCCUUAUUUUCCUCCGAGGAACGGAGACGAUGAUGAGGCUUGAGCUGACAGGCGGGUAAUCUCCACGCGCGGAAAGCGGAGCGUCAAGUUGAGCGAGCGGCCACUUCUAUAGUUCCCGCACUUCCGCACUGUGAUGAAGACUCUGGGCUCGACCCAUGUAGUUGUUUGGGUCUAGGUUCUCAUAUAUGUUUGUUCCACAGGCCCAAAUAACCAGUUUUUGUAGCCAAUAUCAUUUGCUUGAUGAACAAGCAAGAUAAUUUGAAGCUCUGAAAAUUUUAGGUUUUACCAACUCAUCUCUUACACCUACAAUUGAGUUUAUAUGUACUCUACUAUUUGCUGACCUAAGCAUAUAUAUAUAUAUAUAGCUAGGGCGCGUGGCCCUUCCAUUAAGGGAUUCUUUUUUUUGACAUAUAUGAGGGAUGGGGGAUUACACCAACUUUUUUAUUAUAUUUUUGAAUCUCUACCGUUCAGUUUGUUAGUCCUUAUAUAUAGAUCAAUUCUGCAAAUUUUCAGCCAAUUUGGUGAUCAUUAAGGUGUCGAACAAGAUUAGAUCAAUGAACGAACCAAAUCUGCCAAACCUGAACCGUUCAUGCUUAUAAUUAUAAAUCGUAGUUUUGAAUGCCUUAAUGAUCAUAAAAAUUUCUGAAAAUUUGCAGAAGUGAUCUACUCAUAUAGAACUACAUAUUGAACGGAGGAGAUGUGAUUUUGUGAUCGAAAAGUUGGUGUAAUCCCUCAUCCCUCAUAUACGUCAAAAAAAAAGGAUCAUUUAGUGGAAGGGCCCUGUAUAUAUAUAUAUAUAUAUAUAAUAUAUAUAUGUUGCGGGAGAAAUAAACUGAGAGAGAGAGAUUGGGGAGAAUAUCGUUCUAUUUCAUUCAUAGAAUAUGCCUCUAUAUAUAGAGGAUACAAUACAU
rnacentral:lncRNA from 1 species